CCCCCCAGCCUUCCAACACCACCCUGUGCAGCGGUUAUCAAUCACGCCGGCUGUAUUGCAUUUUCAUUGUGGAUUAGCCCGUCUGCGACACUGCUCUUAUCUCUCUGCACUGGGGAAAGUGUGAGGCGCUCUCUCUAUCAGCAGGGCUUAGCCGGCGCUGUCUGCUCAAAGCUGUGCAGGCGAGGGCUGGAAAACCGCACACAACAAAGGGAGCAGCACAAAGCGCGCGCGUCUCGUCUUCCUGCUGGAUUAUGUAUUGCAGGAAGCGUGCUGCUGGAUUACCAUCUCCCUCCUCUGGCACUCUGGGGACCUUCUUCUCCCCUCUGCAGUCCAAGAGUUCAGCAUGAUUCUCUCAGCUACAGAGAACUGCAAGGCUGUGUUGCAGAUUGUAUCCAGCAAAGGGGUAACGUGUCACUGAAGUUCUCAGCCAAAAAUAUUUUGUGCGUGUGGAGCGGAAGGGGAAGGGGGGGGGGGGGGGCUGCGGCAACGGGGUGUUUUAUCAUGGUUACAUUAACUAUGGCUGCUCGCUUUCUCACCUGUGGCACCGUCUCAACAUCAGUGUGGAGCACGCGCAACACGCUUGUGUUGCUAUGCAUCUCUGUGUGAGGUGGUGGCUCUGGGCGCAAUGACAGUUGUGAAGAAAAGCCUUUUUGAAAAAGAUUGUGAGGUGGGGGGGUGGGGGGGCAAUGCCAGGAACAUAACAAACUGCAAGAGUGCGCACCGAGCAAUAGAUCAGUGCACAGAGAGCUAAAUUCAGACGUCUCUUCCCCCACAUAAAGAAUCAGAUCUCAGGGUUCUAUUUCAAAUGCAGCACGCAUAAAUAAAUGCUGAUCAUAACCCGGGCCGUAGCCUUCCUACAAUGUUCUGCAUAUUAUGAGUUGUUUAUUUUCUGCAUCCUACCCAAUGAGAAUUGGUUAUCAAAUUUUAUAUUUCGACCAUACCUGCUGGUUUCCAUAUAUGUAUAUUCAAUUCAUAUAUUUAUAUAUAUUCAUUCCUCAACCAUAAAUUUUCAAAAUGCAAAAUUUAAAAUUUGAUGGAAACAUAUAUGUUAAAUUACAGAAUGCACAGAGCAAAAUGUAUAAAAGCAAGAACAAGAUGUAAAAUUAAAUAAAGGAAAAAAAUAUGAGAGAAAUAACAGAUCACUUGACAGAAUUCAGGAUGGGUAGAGGAGUGUUAAAUCAUAAUAACAUCUAAAAAAAACAGACAUUGUUUUACACUCCGUAUUUCUUUUGAGUCUCUCUGAAGGGAGAUGAGAAGACAUGUCACAGUAUUACAGAAAACCUGUCAACACAGGAGUGAAAUAUCACCGUGCAGGAAGUAGGGAGGUUUCACUGCAGUUUAGUAGCAGGAGUGUGCUUCCACACCAGGUCUGUUACACACAAAGGGACCACCUUAGUGGGUCAGGAGUGAGGCAUUGCAGUUAUUGGGUAAAAACAAAGCACUAUGCUUUUCUCAAAAAGACAUAAACCAAUAAAUAAAUAAAUGUUAUAAUAUAAUAUAA